rnacentral:rRNA from 1 species
CCUACGGGGGGCAGCAGUGGGGAAUAUUGGGCAAUGGGCGCAAGCCUGACCCAGCAACGCCGCGUGAAGGAAGAAGGCUUUCGGGUUGUAAACUUCUUUUCUCAGGGACGAAGCAAGUGACGGUACCUGAGGAAUAAGCCACGGCUAACUACGUGCCAGCAGCCGCGGUAAUACGUAGGUGGCAAGCGUUAUCCGGAUUUACUGGGUGUAAAGGGCGUGUAGGCGGGAAAGCAAGUCAGAUGUUAAAACCAUGGGCUCAACCUGUGGCCUGCAUUUGAAACUGUUUUUCUUGAGUACUGGAGAGGCAGACGGAAGUCCUAGUGUAGCGGUGAAAUGCGGAGAUAUUAGGAGGAACACCAGUGGCGAAGGCGGUCUGCUGGACAGCAACUGACGCUGAGGCGCGAAAGCGUGGGGAGCAAACAGGAUUAGAUACCCGAGUAGUC